rnacentral:piRNA from 1 species
UAGAAAGAGGAAGACAGAGCUCUUACCAGGG